rnacentral:rRNA from 1 species
UACGUAGGGUCCGAGCGUUGUCCGGAAUUAUUGGGCGUAAAGAGCUCGUAGGCGGUUUGUCGCGUCUGCUGUGAAAUCUGGAGGCUCAACCUCCAGCCUGCAGUGGGUACGGGCAGACUAGAGUGCGGUAGGGGGAGAAUGGAAUUCCUGGUGUAGCGGUGGAAUGCGCAGAUAUCAGGAGGAACACCGAUGGCGAAGGCAGUUCUCUGGGCCGUAACUGACGCUGAGGAGCGAAAAGCGUGGGGAGCGAACAGG